GACGAACCGUCCUAACGUUGUUCGGAAUCACUGGGCUUAAAGGGCGCGUAGGCGGGCUCUCAAGUCCGGGGUGAAAUCUUUCGGCUCAACCGGAAAAUAGCCUUGGAUACUGGGAGUCUCGAGCGAGGUAGGGGCGGGUGGAACUUCCGGUGGAGCGGUGAAAUGCGUUGAUAUCGGAAGGAACGCCGGUGGCGAAAGCGACCCGCUGGACCUCUGCUGACGCUGAUGCGCGAAAGCCAGGGGAGCGAACGGG
rnacentral:rRNA from 1 species